rnacentral:rRNA from 1 species
GCUGGCGGCGAUAGCAUGUUGAAUGCACCCAGGUCCCAAUCGAUCACUGAAGUUAAGCAACAUUGCUCGUGGUUGGUAUCC